GCAUGGAGAUGCAAGUGUGGCAACAAGUUGUACAUGCCAUGAAUAUAAUUUUCUCUAAGUAUGAUGUAUUUUUGUUGGGUCUAAUAUAUAUAGUUCAUUUUAUUGACUAUAAAUUAAGACAAAUCUCAUCUCUUUGAUUAAUUACGUUAGCUUUAGCUUGUGGUGGAUAUUGGAUAUGGAAAAAAAGAGGGUACAGAACUUGAUUUGAUGUGAAAUAUAUAAUAUAUAUCUUCACACUAA
rnacentral:lncRNA from 1 species